rnacentral:rRNA from 1 species
UACGGAGGGUGCAAGCGUUAUCCGGAUUCACUGGGUUUAAAGGGUGCGUAGGAGGACAGGUAAGUCAGUGGUGAAAUCUCCGAGCUUAACUUGGAAACUGCCGUUGAUACUAUCUGCCUUGAAUAUUGUGGAGGUGAGCGGAAUAUGUCAUGUAGCGGUGAAAUGCUUAGAUAUGACAUAGAACACCAAUUGCGAAGGCAGCUGGCUACACAAAUAUUGACACUGAGGCACGAAAGCGUGGGGAUCAAACAGG